ensembl:miRNA Gm44458 predicted gene, 44458
CUACUGCCGUGUUGCCGGUCAUGCUUAACCAACUUGAUCUCACUUGGUUAUGGCCUCAAAGCAUGAGAGCAGCAGCAGCAGCAGCAGCAGCAGCAGCAGCAGCAGCAAUGAUUCGGAUAUGCCCAAGAGUAGCUAUGAAGUAC